AUAUCUGACUUUCCUACUUCUUUCUCCUUCUGCUCUGGUGAAUUGUGUGAAACUAGAUGUUCCUUGAUGUUAUGAUUCUUAGACAAUUGGAAAUUGAUGCAUAGGGGCACAGCACAGCACAGCCCUAGAGGCCCAGUUGCAUACUGUGUGUUCUCAUCUUGGAAAAAAUGUAAUAACUGCACAAUUGUAGUUCCAGAUUAAGGUUUGACUUGCAAAGAUAGCUUGAAGAAAAUAAGAGAAAAUGAAUUAGAGACAACAUUGGGACCCUAAGAAAGGAAAAAGUUAUUGAAGUUAGGAUAUAAAUUUUCCAUAAUAUUUCAGACUGGUUACUGGAUAUGGAAGUAUAGAAUAUAUAAAAUAAUAUACUAGUAAACUAAGUCAAGCUACUGGAACUCUUAUGAGAGUCAUUGUGUGCAAGGAACAGAAAGCUAGUGGAAUUACUGUGCUAAGAGUUACCUUGAUUCUUUCUGGCCACUGCCUGGCAGUUUUGCCUAUGUCAUUUAUCAUUAGAGCUUCACAGGAAAGUGCAGGUAGCUGACCUCGGAGCUUUGGUCUCUGAAGUAUAAAAGUAAAAAGUUAAAGUUUAAAUAAUGGUAAGUUUACAAUUAUUAUUAUUAUAUUGGCCACAGGUCUGGGUAUAGGGGAAGCCUGAAACUUUGGAGAACAGUUGUAAUUCUUAGUUCUUGGUGAGAUGUAUUCAUUCUUUGCAUUUGAUUUGGCAAUGAUUAUAAAUGUCUUUUUCCUACCCGCGCUUUUGGAUUAUUAAUAAAGGAGUGGGGCAAGAGAAAGGCUACAGAACAUGUGAAAGAUAAAUGAGAGAGAGCAUGAGGAAGUGAAUGAGAGAGUAAAUGACAGACCUAAUGUAAGAACAAAUGUGAGAGCGAUGAGAGAGCAUGAACCUGCCAAUGUGUGUAGCUUUACCUUAUUACCUCAUCAUGUGAAAUAGCCAAUCAUAUGUGAACAUGUCUAUGUGUCUCGUUUGAAUCCACCAAUCCCCGUAACUAUGCAUCUGCUUCU
rnacentral:sRNA from 1 species